rnacentral:rRNA from 1 species
UGAGGAAUAUUGGUCAAUGGGAGAGAUCCUGAACCAGCCAAGCCGCGUGAGGGAAGACGGCACUACGUGUUGUAAACCUCUUUUGCCGGGAACAAAAGCGGGGACGCGUCCCCGUCUGCGUGUACCCGGAGAAAAGCAUCGGCUAACUCCGUGCC